GAUAAACGCUGGCGGCGUGCCUAAUGCAUGCAAGCCGAACGGCCCGAUUUAUCGGGCAGUGGCGAACGGGUGAGUAACACGUAAGAACCAACCCUCAAGUGGGGGAUAACCCCGAGAAAUCGGGGCUAAUACCGCAUAAGCUCCCCGAUUAUAUCGGGGAGGAAAGCUGAGGCGCUUGAGGGACGGGCCUUGCCGUUCCGAUUAGCUAGUUGGUGUGGUAAUGGCUCACCAAGGCUGAGAUCGGUAGCUGGUCUGAGAGGAUGAUCAGCCACACUGGGACUGAGAUACGGCCCAGACUCCUACGGGAGGCAGCAGCAGGGGAUAUUGCGCAAUGGGUGAAAGCCUGACGCAGCAACGCCGCGUGGGGGAAGAAGGUUUUCGGAUCGUAAACCCCUUUUCUCGGGGAAGAUGGUGACGGUACCCGAGGAAUAAGUCUCGGCUAACUACGUGCCAGCAGCCGCGGUAAGACGUAGGAGGCGAGCGUUAUCCGGAAUUAUUGGGCGUAAAGGGCGUGUAGGCGGCUCUUCAAGUCUUUGGUGAAAUCUCCCGGCUCAACUGGGAGGGUGUCAGAGAAACUGGAGGGCUUGAGGGCAGUAGAGGGGGGUGGAAUUCCCGGUGUAGUGGUGAUAUGCGUAGAUAUCGGGAGGAACACCAGUGGCGAAGGCGGCCCCCUGGGCUGUUCCUGACGCUGAGGCGCGAAAGCGUGGGGAGCAAACAGGAUUAGAUACCCUGGUAGUCCACGCCGCAAACGAUGGACACUAGGUAUGGGGGGUAUCGACCCCCUCCGUGCCGAAGCUUACGCUUUAAGUGUCCCGCCUGGGGAGUACGGCCGCAAGGCUAAAACUCAAAGGAAUUGACGGGGGCCC
rnacentral:rRNA from 1 species